UUUGAUUAGGUCCCAUUGGUUUAUUUUUGCUUUUAUGUCCCAGACUACUUUAUAAGAUGGUGUGCUAUUUUAUUAGGCAUCACAUAAUAUUUUGUUUUCUCUAGUUUGGUGUUGCUGUCACCUGUUGAUGAUUACUGCCAAAUCCAUUAUUUCAUUAGGGCUUGCAGAUUGGUAAUGUUCUAGUUCUGUUUUGUUACAGAAUACUUCUAUAAAUAGAGAUCUUCCUCCAUCUUCAACUUGGGAACCCACUAGUACAGUUGGUACAGUAAAGGCAGGAUAAGUGUUUGGACCCUUCUCCUUUAUUUAACAGUUUUUUAAAAUAACAAUUUGGUCCACUGGCAUGCCUAUUAGUGACUGAUUUCAGCCCUUCCUUUAUUUCUUUUUAAGUGUUAUUAUGAACUCACGGAUUUAGACACAUUUGACGUCAUUCAUUUCAUUGCAGUUGUUGUUCUCUUGAACUUUAAGGUGUCUUAUCUUUGGCUAGUGGGAGUCUCUUUAAAUUGGCUUCUGAAUCUUUUUCACACAACCCCAGUUGUUUUUGAGAGUGUCCUUGAGAUCUUGUACAUUUCCUGACUGGAAAUAUACCUGGAAUCAGCCAUCUUUUCUUUUAGUGGAAGAUGUUAUUUAGAGACCACAACCUGGUAGCCUUUUUAGAGAAGGAGCUAAGAAGUGUUUUAUUUUGUGUUGUUUUUUUAAAAAAGAUAAAACAAGCUAUGAGUCGAUACCAAUACUUUAAUCCAAAUUCAAGAUUUCAAUAUUCAUAGAUAAACUAAUCUAUCUUAUAUGUGUCUCCUUUCUCCCAUGCCCAGGCUCCCAUUUAUCAAUGACACCAAGAAUGACAGAAUUAAAAAUAUCUCAUAAUUAUUAACUUUGUUAUACACAGUGGUCUCUGGAUGACAAUGCCAACACUAUCACCAACAAUAUGAUUACUGAAAAGAGUGAAAUUUUAUUAUAUUUUAUUUUUUACACUUCUCUUUGUCAGGCAUAUUCCACUAGGUCUGUACAUCAAAUGACUGUGUUUUGAAGUCAUUUGGAAUUAUUUCUUUCAGUAUAGUUCUUUCACCAACUGGAUAGGCAUUUAAGUCCAUUUGUUUCAUAUCAUUUUUUUAUUUUUAGGGAUUUUUAUUAAAAUUUUAUUUUGCUUUAUAAUUAAAAGAUUUACAGUCUUCCAAGGUCAAAUCUAUAAAACAAGAUUUAUACCAAGAAGUCUAACUUCACCCUAUUCUUUUUCCUGUAGAUAUAACUACUUAAAAAAUUUUUGGAGUUCCCACUGUGGCACCAUGGGUUAAGGAUCCAGCAUUGUCUCUGUGGUGAGGAACUGUGGAACUAGAACUCUUUGCUGUUCCGCCAUCAUGCCAGGUUCUGUCCUGCCUCAAGCUGUCAUCCCGAGUCUCCACGUGGACCACCCCCUACUUCCUUCAGAGGGUCAUCUGCUAUCUGGCUAUUUCAUUAUCUGGUGCCCCAGACAAGCUCAGCGGGCCAGCCAAUUUCUUUUGUUCAGCUUCUCUUUGUGCUCAACUAACUGGAAGACACUGCUGAGAAGGACAGAGAUGGCUGCGGAUUUUCCUGGGUUAGGAAUUCAUAUACAGGACCCUUGCUUCUCAACUCGUUACCGAAGUGGCAGAGGUCUUCCCCAACAGAAGCUGACUCAGACGAGAGCAACUUUGACACAAACUGCCAAAAGGGAAACAGACUCCAUCUGCUAGAUCUCUCAGAUGUAUAGUUUCGUAUGUUUCCCAAGCUGGUCUCAGCGGCCUUCGUCACUACUUGAUGAGCAGGCCCAGUCGUAGAUGACCAGCGGAAUGCUGACCAGAGAAAACAACACCCCCAGACCCAAGAAAAGGGCAGCCUGGAGCAACAGAAAGGCAAGAAGGGUUAUUUGCAGCAGAGCAGACAUUGCCCACAUACACCUGGGAAAAAAUGGCUAUGCUCCCCCUCUCCCUUUGUGUCCCCUCGUAUGUGGAGUUUGUUACAACCACUGCUCAAUCUUUCUAAAAUCCUGUGCCUCUGAUUCUCCAAGGAUGGGAAACUAAGAAAAACCAGCCAUGCACAACCAUCCUCUGCAUUCUGUUCUUUGACUUCAUGGUCACCCAAGAGUGAAUCUGUUCUACUGCCUGUUGGGAAGCUUCACAGCACUUUUUUUCCCCCCAUAUGCCACACCCACAGCACAUGGAAGUUCCCAGGCUAGAGGUGGAAUUGGGGCGGACCGGAUCCCUUGUCUAAGGCUAUGUGCUAGAUCCUCUGACCAGUUUUAAACAGGGGCCAGGGUGGGAGAGGCCCGGAGAAUUCAUGGGCGAUAGAAUAGGUCUCCACCACUGUCAGAUUUAAUCUUAGUUCACUGCUCUGCAGACUGGCUCCUCCCUCCUCUCUGUCCUCGAGAAGCCCUUCCUGGUCAGAUUUAGAAGGACGAGGGGAUUUAUGGCUUUACGGAUAAUCCUGCUGGGGGAAGCAGAUACUCUACCAGCCUCCACACUGCUUUUCCUAAAGACACAGGGAUGGUUGCCCGUGCCUGUCUCUCAUCUGGGUCUGUUGACUCAGGCAACGUGUGGGGUUGGCGUGCUUACUACCUGGGAGGGCAGCUGGGAAGCCUGCUCCGAGGCCAAACAUAAUGGUGCUCUAGAAGGUACUCAGGUAGCAGCCACUUCACCCCUCCUUCCCUCACCGCCUCCAAGUGCACCACCUUCAAGAUGCCCUUGAACUUCACCAGCCCUGGGAACAAGAAUCCCAAUAUAGAAAGGUAGUUUGUGAAUCCAGGUCUGUUGCUGCAAAGCAUUCCUGUCAAAUCCUAAAAAGACUCUUUCCACUUACUCAGCAGAAGGCAGCACGUGUUCCCUGGACUGCAGGAUGGAGUUACAUGACCAGGAAUGGUACAGAACCCGGUGUACUGCCUAAAAUCUCUGAGCCCCUUUCCACAUCAAAUCUUGCUAAAGACAAGGCAUCAGCCUAUAGAGAUACAGGAUGACAAACGUCUAAUCUCUCAACUGGCCAUGCCUCCCCCCUCAGAGCAAAAGCUAAGGCACAGUAAGAGCCAAACGUGAAAAGGUACUUCCAAGGAAUGAGCAAGGUUCUGAUAUGAUCCUUGAAAUUUCCCAAAUGGGCAAACACUAGGACUGCCACAUCCUCUCGAGGUCACUAAAAAGUGGUGUUAGAUAGUGGAGAUGGACUCUUUAUUUGGCAUAUUCCAAUGAAAAACUCAUCAGAAAAAUGCAGUGGCUGGCAUGAGACAUACCCAAAUUCGCUGAGUUCCUUUAUCUCCAUCCUGGCUUGUGAUUUUUAAAUAAAGAGAUGAAGGAAGAAUGAAAAUAAGCAUAUUAGCAGAUGUAACUCCUGAAAAAAAAAAAAAAAAACUUGCGGUUGUUAUCGUGAAACUUUAGCUUCCUACACAGCCAUUGUAAAAUAAGCAUCAAGUCUGAAAGCCAUACCUACGACUCCAAAAAUAUCCUUCAUUGUGGGUAUGAAGAUCACCAGCAAGUUGAUAAUAACCAAGAGAAUGAAGGUCACCAAGACAUGACGACAUAGGUGGAACUUUGUCUUCUUAGCCAGUUCAAAUAAAGAUGAACGAACCUGCAGGAAAAGAACAGAUUCUGUAAAGCCCAUAGCAGGCCGUCACACUGCUCCACAGAGUGGCUGACAGAAUGGUGUGCAGGCACUUGGGACAUGUUUUUCAAACCUGGUGAAUUUCUUUUUAUUUAUUUAGUUUUCUUUUUUAGCUGCCACCCAGCGUAUGGAGUUCCUGGGCCAGGGAUCAGGUCUGAGCUUCAGCUGUGACCUAUGCAAUGCCAGAUCAUUAACUUGCUGUGCUGGGCCGGGGAUUGAACCUGCAUCCCAGGGCUCCAGAGACACCGCCAACCCACUGCACCACAGCGGGAGCUCCAUACCUAGUGAAUUUACAGAUAGCUUAACAGUUUGGGAAGCAGGGGGCUUGACUUAAGACGGAAAGUCUUUCUCUUUACGAAUAGGUAGUUUUCUUUUGUGGGGGGAUAAUUUGUCUCAUCUAAGACUGAAUGUUCUCUUCUGGUCCUUUUACCUUCUCCUUUCAUGGAUGACUGAGAUGCCAACAGUCUAUCUACAUUUCUCUGAGAAGGAGAGGGACAGAAUGGAGUUCCUUGAUGGUGCCACAGGUUAAGGAUCCAGUGUUCAGGAUCACUGCAGUGGCUCGGGUCUCAGCUGUGCUGUGGGUUCGAUCCCUGGCCCCAGAACUUCCCCAUGCUUUGGAUGCAGCCAAAAAAAAGAGAAGAAGAAGAGGGACAGAUUAAUUUGAAUUAAGACUCAUCCCAUCAGGUUCCUGUUAUGGCUCAGCAGAAGUCUUGGCGUCUUUCCCUGCUGCAGACACAAUGAUGCAGGGGAGUUCCCUGCAGCAGGCUUGCUCUGCCAAGUGGCUCCUGAAAGCAGCCGGAGAGAGGAGACCUCGGCUUUUCUCAGAUGGCACCGAGGCCCUUUACUCACUGUGAAGAAUAACACCGGCACUGUGAGGAUGACAGCGACAAUGACAGCCAGCCGCACGGUCAGGAUGAGGAUGUCAUCUUUACUCUGGUACUUGUGAAGGAGGUCCGAGUGCACGUUGUCUAAAAUGACGGGAAAGUAAGAGGCUAUUAACACGAGGCAAAAGCACAUCUCGGAAUGACGGUUUUUCUCAGCCACAAAGAAUUUAUACACUAGAGGGCAAGGAAAGUAGCGUUCUGGGUGUUGAAAUGUCUAUUAAACAAUUGAUCAAGCUGAAAAGAAAAAAUCCCCCACGUGAGACAAGCCCCACACAGACCUUUUGUGAAAAGGAAUGUACAGUACAAAUCACACAGAGUGGCAAAAGCUUAAGUUACACUAAACUAAACCUUGGCGUAAGUUGGGGUUAAAAAGACCAUAUGGUUGAAGCACAAAGCGCUUCUUCAUCUAGACCCUCCCCUACUUGGUGCCACUCGGCAAACGAUGUCAAAGGGUCGGUCUGGUGGCGUGGACCGCAGGCCACUCAGAACCCCUUUCCAACUCUCCUCUUAUAACUCAGCUUCCAAGCAGCAGGAGUGCUCCUGAAACUUGACCACCUCAAGGAUAUCAUUCUUCUCUCCCAGCCCGGCAACUCUGCAAGAACCUUAGGAGAACCCUCUUUCUGCAGGAAUUAAAUGUUGUAUUUAUGAAUUCAUUAGACAAUGCUAUUCUUCAUUGCUUGUGAAAAUGAUUCCAAUACAACUGUAUAAUCAGCGUAGCCUUUCUCUCCAGGCUCAAUUAAUCACCUAAAUGUGUUUAAAUUUUGAGACAUUUGUGUUCAUGAAAAAAAAAUGCCCCCGAGAAAUGUUAUUUAAUAGAGAAUAUGAACUAUAUGUACUUAAAUUUAAAUCUGGUCCCAAAUUAUAAGGAUAAUGAAAGAUGUGAAAUAAAACUGCAGGAUGACUGACAGAAGAGAAUGAAGAAGGAGAAAAAGAAGGUAAACUAUGUAUACAGGAUCAAUAAAAAUUAUAAAGGAAA